rnacentral:rRNA from 1 species
GACGAACGCUGGCGGCGUGCUUAACACAUGCAAGUCGAACGGUAAGGCCCUUCGGGGUACACGAGUGGCGAACGGGUGAGUAACACGUGGGUGAUCUGCCCUGCACUUCGGGAUAAGCCUGGGAAACUGGGUCUAAUACCGGAUAGGACCACUGCCUGCAUGGGUGGUGGUGGAAAGCUUUUGCGGUGUGGGAUGGGCCCGCGGCCUAUCAGCGUGUUGGUGGGGUGAUGGCCUACCAAGGCGACGACGGGUAGCCGGCCUGGGAGGGUGACCGGCCACAGUGAGACUGAGAUACGGCCCAGACUCCUACGGGAGGCAGCAGGGGGGAAUAUUGCACAAUGGGCGCAAGCCUGAUGCAGCGACGCCGCGUGAGGGAUGACGGCCUUCGGGUUGUAAACCUCUUUCAGCACCGACGAAGCGCAAGUGACGGUAGGUGCAGAAGAAGGACCGGCCAACUACGUGCCAGCAGCCGCCGUAAUAC